CGCUCCCUCAGUCCCACGGCAACCCACCUUCCAUCCAAAGACACACCACUUCUUCCAUCAAAAACACAAAUUCCUCCGUCAAAAGAUUCAAAACCCACCAUACCCACAAUCCAAUAAAUAUCUCCUUCCUUAGACCCACAGCAAAACCCACCUUCCAUCCAAAGAACACCACUUCUACCACCAAAAACACAAAUUUCUCAAUCAUUAGACCCACGGCAAAACCCACCUUCCAUCCAAAGAACACCACUUCUACCACCAAAAACACAGAUUUCUCAAUCAUUAGACCCAUGGCAAAACCCACCUUCCAUCCAAAGAACACUACUUCUGCCACCAAAAAUACAGAUUUCUCAAUCAAAACCACCAUACCCACUAUACCCACAAAUCAACAGAGAUUGUUUUUGGCCAAUUCCCUUCUACUCCCUCCAAAAUGCAGACCCACCCACAACUGCAAGCCACAAACCACUGCAGACCCACCAACAACCGCAAGCCACAAACCACCAACAUGCAACCUCAACAACCCACAAACGCCGCUGAGAACAACGCACCCCAACCCUCCUGUCGGCGAUACACCAUCACACCCAACCCACCCGUCGAAACUGGCCCAAAGAAGCACCCAACACCCGAGGCAGAACAAUCCCACUUGAAUGGUUGCCUUAGUCCCUGCUGUUAAGUGAAUCCUACCACAGGUCCAUCUGUGGCAGAGGGUAUGGCUUCCUUUUCAGUUGUCAUCAUUGGCCACUUGGCCUCACCAGGUCUAUCUCUAUCUCUCUUCAAAUUUAGACUCUCUGUUCUAUAAAUUUUUUCCCUUUACAAGAUAUAUUUUUAUGGUGGAAUGCUUGUGAUUAAGAUGACUGAUAUUUAGGUAAUUGUUAACUAAAGCUUGGUUUUAUGUUUAGUUUAAUUGUUUCAUCUCAAUACUUUCAUUGUUUUUAUUACUUCUUUAUUUGAUUUUAAGAGUAGCAUCUACAUUUUUGAGGGGUUUUGUUUGAUCCUUAUUUUUUAGUUAUGCUAAGGUUUGUAUUUUUAAUUUUGGUAUAACCAUGGAAGCUAAGAUCCAUAGCUAUCAGCCUACUACUGACUUUUAUUUUUUGCUUUCUACCAUGCACAUCGAAGGACCAAGUCCAUAGAGUUUAGAAGCUAUCUACAAAUUCCAGCAAUAGCAAAGUGCAUAAUUGAAAAGUGUUAUUGUUGCAAACUUAAAACUGCUGGUAUGGUUGCACAUUUUGGACAGAACAGUAUUACUCCAAAAGCAUUACCAGUAAAGUUUUUAAUUUCUUUUUAAAACUCUCUCCAUUGUUUCCUCAAACAUUCUGUCUCUGCAGCUCUGCCCUUAUUAUAAAUGCUCCUCUGCAGACUUCAUUCAAAAUACAAAUCAGCAAACAUUAGGUGUAGAGAGAGAAAUCUGAGGGAUUUUUCCAUUGUCAGCCUGUUUCCCUCCGCUUUCUGGCUUCAAGCCACCAUUAUACCUCCAAAAACAUUACCGGUAAAGUUUUUAAUUUUGUUUUAAAAAGUUGUUGGUAAAAAUAUGAUUUAGGUUUUGGUAUUUCAAUUUAGGGUUUAGAUUUGCGUUUAUUUUGGUAGAUUAGCCUGGGAGCAUUAGUUUGUAUGAUAAAUCUUCAAUAGCUUAUGAUCUUCAAAAACUGAAAAUCUUUUUUAUUAUAUUAGUUGGUUUCUCAAUUCUAAGAAACUCUUUUUUUUCCCUUUGGUUUCUCAACUCCCUUGAAAGUGUUCAAAGAAAUGCUUGAACAGAACUUUUCAUCACCAUAUUUGAUUGGAUUGGUGUUGAUUGCUUGCUUUCUAAUUUUUUGGGGUGCAUAUACUUUAAAUUUGUAGAAUUUUAGUGUUUUGACAAUUUUCAGUUCAACUAAACUGAGGUUGUAAUCAAAUUAUAACAUAUAAUUUAGCAAAUGUAAAUAUUCAUUAGGUUAGUUGUAAUCAGAUAUAAUGUAUAGUUAAGCAACUAAGAGAUCAAUUUAGUCCAGUAUUAAAAGAUUAAAUGCAAAUUAUAUUCAUUUUAAAAUAUAAUGUUAUAGCGGCAAUAUAACCCAUGCAUUACAAGGUUUGUCACAU